AUCACAGAGCCCCCAACGGAGGAGCUAGAGAAAGUAUCCAAGGAGCUAAAGAGAUCUGCAACCCUGUAGGUGCAACAUUAUGAACUAACCAGUACUCCGGAGCUCUUGAUUCUAGCUGCAUAUGUAUCAAAAGAUGGCCUAGUCGGCCAUCACUGGAAAGAGAUGCCCAUUGGACAUGCAAACUUUAUAUGCCCCAGUAAAGGGGAACGCCAGGGCCAAAAAGUGGGAAUGGGUGGGUAGGGGAGUGUGUGGGGGGGGGAGGGUGUGGGGGACUUUUGGGAUAGCAUUGGAAAUGUAAUUGAGGAAAAUACGUAAUAAAAAAUAUUAAAAAAUAAAACAGCAACUGCAAAAUUAUGAGUUAAAAAAAAAAAGCAGUGGUGGCGAAUGCCUUUAAUCCCAGCACUUGGGAGGCAGAGGCAGGCGGAUUUCUGAGUUCGAGGACAGCCUGGUCUACAGAGUAAGUUCCAGGACAGCCAGGGCUACACAGAGAAACCUUGUCU
rnacentral:lncRNA from 1 species